UACGAAGGGGGCUAGCGUUGUUCGGAAUCACUGGGCGUAAAGGGCGCGUAGGCGGCUUUAUAAGUCGGGGGUGAAAGCCUGUGGCUCAACCACAGAAUUGCCUUCGAUACUGUUAGGCUUGAGACCGGAAGAGGUGAGUGGAACUGCGAGUGUAGAGGUGAAAUUCGUAGAUAUUCGCAAGAACACCAGUGGCGAAGGCGGCUCACUGGUCCGGUUCUGACGCUGAGGCGCGAAAGCGUGGGGAGCAAACAGG
rnacentral:rRNA from 1 species